UUAGUGGGUGUUUGCUUUA
rnacentral:siRNA from 1 species